GUGAGGAAUUUUCCGCAAUGGGCGAAAGCCUGACGGAGCAAUGCCGCGUGAAGGAUGAAGGCCUAUGGGUUGUAAACUUCUUUUCUCAGAAAAGAAUUAUGACGGUAUCUGAGGAAUAAGCAUCGGCUAACUCUGUGCCAGCAGCCGCGGUAAGACAGAGGAUGCAAGCGUUAUCCGGAAUGAUUGGGCGUAAAGCUUCUGUAGGUUGUUUAAAAAGUAUUCUGUCAAAGAUUAGGGCUUAACCCUAGAUAGGCAGAAUAAACUUUUAAGCUAGAGGUUGGUAGAGGCAGAGGGAAUUCCCGGUGGAGCGGUGAAAUGCGUAGAUAUCGGGAGGAACACCAAAGGCGAAGGCACUCUGCUGGGCCAAUACUAACACUGAGAGACGAAAGCGAGGGGAGCAAAUGGGAUUAGAAACCCCUGUAUCC
rnacentral:rRNA from 1 species